rnacentral:rRNA from 1 species
ACGCUCGACACCUACGGGAGGCAGCAGUGGGGGAUAUUGCACAAUGGGCGAAGCCUGAUGCAGCGACGCCGCGUGAGGGAAGACGGUCUUCGGAUUGUAAACCUCUGUCUUCAGGGACGAAAGGAAUGACGGUACCUGAGGAGGAAGCCACGGCUAACUACGUGUCAGCAGCCGCGGUAAUCUGAGCGGGCUGGCAAGGC